GUGGAUGGUAGGGAAUGGAUGCAUUUUUUUCAGAGGGCAAGAUGGGAUAGAGAUGGAGGUGAACAAUUCAUCAGCCUCUUGGAGUGGCAUUGGUGUAAAUCAGAUGUUUUGAGAAUGAGUUGCCUUUUUGUGCUGAAGAACACGUAAUGUUUUUACAGCUUUAAUUGAUCCUGAAUCAAUAGCAAUGGAUGUAGUAGGUUAGGAAGACUGAUUUGGUUCCAAAGCAAUGUUUUCUGCCCGAUGCUGUCUCAGCACCUGCAGUUCUCCCCAGUGGUAUCCAGUGCAAUUUGAGCAGAGCUGCUUUCAUUGUGUGCCAUGUCUGCUAGCUGGGCAGUAAAGGAAGAAGAAACAAUGCAUCUGAAAGUACACGAAUUCCAGUAUAGCUGGCAGUACCCCUGCAAAUGAAUAAGACACAACAAAUCCUAGUGAAUUGCAGGGCAGGAAAAAGCAUAUAUUUAAGCUUUUCCAGGAGGCAUGAGCUGGGCACCCUAACCAAAGUACACAAUUGUUUGAUUGGUACAAGCUGAUCAUGAGGAUCCAGGUACAAAUGUAGAAAAGGAGGAAGAGAGAGAUCUAGUUAAUGAGUAAUUCAUGGCCGUAAUGCAGGUUUGAACAAACAAUACAGUCUCUCAACAGUAAGGACAGUAUCUCAGCUUAAACUCUCUCCAGUGCAAGUAUCUUACUUCUUCCCACCAAGAAGAAAAUGAAAAACAAGACAAGCUUUCUUCCACAAGAAGGAGAGGCACAUCCUUCCAGAUGUCCAGAUAACACUGCAUUCAAACAACAAAAGCUACCAGCUUGGAAGCCUCAGCUUACCAUUGCAAGUGUGCUCUCCAGCUUCUUUCUCAUAGGCGCGUUCUGCCUUGCUGUGGGAGUCUGCCUCAUACUGUCUGCAAACAGCGUCAGAGAAAUCCAGAUUGAUUAUUCAGAUAAAUGCUCAGAUUGUUCAAAACUCCGUGAAAAUUCCUCUAAUUGGAGUAAGGAAUGCCACUGUUCUGUUAAUUUCACGCUAAAGGAAGAUGUAUUGGAUGAUGUUUUUAUGUACUAUGGCCUGCAAAACUUCUAUCAAAACCACCGUCGAUAUGUGAUAUCAAGAAGUGAUGCACAAUUGUUGGGUCGAAAUGUAAAUAUUCAGAAGAGCUACUGUGCACCCUUUGCCACAUACCGAAAUGGGACGCCCAUGGCUCCCUGCGGUGCUAUUGCCAACAGUAUGUUCAAUGAUACUAUUGAUCUUUUUUACAAUCUUAAGUCAUAUGCUAUUCAAGUACCACUGCUGGAGACUGGAAACAGUUGGUGGACAGAUAAAAAUGUGAAGUUUCGCAAUCCAAAUUCAUACAAUCUCUCUUCUGCAUUUGCAGGGACAGCAAGACCUCCUUACUGGCAGAAACCAGUAUAUAUGUUAGACAAAGAAGAUGAAAGGAACAACGGUUAUUUAAAUGACGACUUCAUUAUCUGGAUGCGAGUGUCAGCCUUUGCUACAUUCAGAAAUCUUUACCGUCGUGUCAAACGGGUAGGGCGGUUUGCGGAUGGCCUCCCAGCAGGAAAUUACACUUUUCGUAUUUCCUACAAUUUCCCUGUUACCAAAUUCAAGGGAAGGAAACAUGUGAUUCUUUCAACUGUGGUAUGGAGUGGAGGAAGCAACCCAUUCCUGGGAAUUGCCUACGUGGUUUCUGGCACAGCAGCAACCCUGACGGGUUUUGUCAUAGCUGCCAUCCACUUAAAACUCAGAAAAAAGAAAACAUAUUUUCAGAAGUAAUAAAGUUUCCUGGCUUUCUGAACAAAGGCAGAGGUGUGCUGUGAACAAAGAAUAUGCAGCACAGACCUCUCAUUCUUUCCCCUGAGCUCUGGAUCUUUAUCAGUAACAGGUUUGGUGAAAGUAAGCAAACAGAGGGGCAGUGCUCUUUCAUCAUCCAAAACCAAACUUAACCGACAUUUCAUUCUUACUAAUUUAUGUGUGCUCCUAAAUUUGUUUCCUAGGAAGCUUAUAGUGAGAUGAACUUCAAACAACAGAUAGCAUAGUUGGUUGGAAUUACAAUGCAAAGAAAUUAUAUUAUACUGAUGUCUGGCCAAAAGCAAGGAUCUCAUUCAUUUCUUACUCAUCCCUUAAUUCAGACAGUGUUUCUCUUGACUUAAGUGGGGCUUUGGGUGCGUAAAAGGUGAGGUCUUGAUGCAACAAAAAGCUUGAUCAGGUAGAAAUUGGUGCUAAAAUCUGUUUGUGGGUCACAUGCAUAGGCUGAAUAGCUUGGCUUACGUUUUACACAUCUUUUUCAGCUGUCCUGAAAAAGCAACAAAUUUAGUGUAGCAUAUUCAUCACAGUUUGAUACUUGAUAUAUGAGUGAACACAGUGCAUUUUUUAGGAGUUUGAUUAAACCAAAUUUAUUGUUUUUAUCUAGGUACUGAGUCUAACCUACAAAGUUGGAGGGCAACAAAACACUGAUUGACAUUUUUGAAAUAAUGACUUAAAAGAAGACUUACAUUAAAAACUCCUUUAAUACUAAACAUUUUGGCAGAAACAUCUUCCUAAUGCAGCUCUUAGGCCGCAAUUGCACUCCUGUGGACUUCACCCUUCCAUGCAAAAUUUGACACUGUUACUGUUUCAGUGUUAUGUAAUGUCUCUUGCCUUGUCAAGCCCCCAUUUUUGUGGUGUGGUGACUUGUUGUUAGUAGGAAACAAAGCAGCAGAAAAUCUGUCAAUUUUAAUAAAGUAAACACUGCAGCUCAGAAAUAAGCUUGUCAAUUUUACACGUUUAGAAGUUAUUUCCAGUAUCUCACAAAAUGUAGGAACAGCACUGACGAAUGUAGAUGAGGUAGAUUGUGGUACAUCCAAACAUUCUUAAAUCAUUUUUCUGUUGGAAAAGUGCAAAUGGAAUAAAACAUUUUAAAUUAAUUCUUUUGAUAAAUAUUCUGUGUGCCUAACCUCCCCACAGCUCAAAAAGCACUCUGCACUAAUACAAGGAAAUCACACUGUAAAGGAAGAGAAAGGAAUGUGGGACAGGGAGGCUGCGUGCCACUGUCAAGAGCACCCACAUCUGCUUUUAGAAGUGUCUCAGGCACUUAUGAGCCUCUGCUUCAUGCUUAGAAGAGAUGCGAACCAUCUAAGGCUAUACUCAAGCAAAGGCUCAACACAGGCAAGAAGGAGUGCCAGGUGAGCAUUUUUUUAACUACAUGAAUGAAGAUCUUCUGAAAAUAUUUGUAUUUGAACUGCAGAACCUGAAAAUAGUGAUUUUGUCAAAUAUUUAGAAUCAUAGAAUCAUGGAAUAGUUAGGAUUGGAAGGGACCUUAAAGAUCAUCUAGUUUCAACUCCCCUUUCAUGAGCAGGGACAUCCCACCGGACCAGGCUGCCCAAGGCCCCAUCCAACCUGGCCUUGAACACCUCCAGGGAUGGGGCAGUCACAGCUUCACUAGGCAACCCGUGCCAGUGUCUCACCACUCUCAUGGUGAAGAAGUUCUUCUUAACGUAUAGUCUAAAUCUGCCCCUCUCCAGUUUAUACCUGUUGCCCCUGGUCCUAUCACCAUAAGCCUUUGUGAACAGUCUCUCCCCUGCUUUCUGGUAGCCCCUUUCAGGUACAGGAAGGUUGCUGUAAGGUCUCCUCGGAGCCUUCUCUUCUCCACGCUGAACAAUCUCAGCUCUCUCAGCCUGUCCUUGUAUGGAAGGUGCUCCAGCCCUCUGAUCAUCCUUGUAGCCCUCCUCUGGACCUGUUCCAACACCUCCAUAUCCUUCUUGCAUUGAGGAUUCCAGAAGUGGACACAGUAUUCCAGAUGAGGUCUUAUAAGAGAGGAAUAGAGGAGCAGAAUCACCCUGCUGGCCACGCUUCUUUUGAUGCAGCCCAGGAUACAGUUGGCGUUCUGCGCUGCGAGUGCACAUUGCGGGCUCAUGCUGAGCUUCUCAUCCACCAGCACCCCCAAGUCCUUCUCUGCAGGGCUGCUCUCAACCACAUCAUCCCUCACUGUGCAGACAAAACAGGGAUUGCCCCAACCCAGGUGCAGGACUUAAACACUUGGCCUUGUUGAACCUCAUGAGGUUCUCAUAGGCCCACUUCUCCAGUCUGUCCAGCUCCCUCUGGAUGACAUCCCAUCCUUCCGAUGUGGCAACACUCAGCUUGAUGUCAUCCACAAACUUGCUGAGAGUGCACUCAAUCUCACUGUCAAUAUCAUUGAUAAAGAUAUUGAACAGCACCGGUCCCAGUAUGGACCCUUGAGGGACACCACUCGUCAUGGAUCUCCACCUGUACUUGGAGCCAUUGAGCACUACUCUUUGAAUACGACCAUCCAGCUAGUUUCUUAUCCAUCGGACCAUCCACUCAUCAAAUCCAUAUCUCUCCAAUUUAGAGAGAAGGAUGUCAUGCGAGACUGUGUCAAAGGCUUUACAGAAGUCCAGAUAAAUCACAUCCGUCAGUUUACCCAUGUCCACUGCUGCGGUUACCCCAUCAUAGGAAGCCACCAAGUUGGUCAUACAGGACUUGCCCCUGGUGAAGCCAUGCUGGCUGCCAUUAAUCACCUCUCUGUCCUCCAUGUGCUUUUGUAUAGCUUCUAGGAGGAUCUGUUCCAUGCUCUUCCCAGGCACAGAGGUGAGGCUGACAGGUCUGUAGUUCUCAGGGUUGUCUUUUCUACCCUUUUAAAAAAUGGACAUGACGUUACCCUUCUUCCAGUCACCAGGGACUUCUCCUGACUGCCAUGACUUCUCAAAUAUCAUGGAGAGUGGUUUGGCAACCACAUCUGCCAAUUCCCUCAGGAUUGUGGGAUGCAUCUCAUCAGUUCCCAUACUUAUAUAUGUUCACGUUCCUUGGGUGUUUGCAAACCUGAUCCUCCUCUACUGAGGGAGGGUGUCUACCCCGCUGGUCACUAUCUUGCUGUCCCACAACCCAAGAGGGGUGAGGAGAGUGGUUGUUGGUGAAGACUAAGGCAAAAUUUGUUAAGUACCUCAGACUUCUCCUCGUCAGUUGAUACAUGAUCCCCGUUUCCAGUCAUCAGUGGGGAUACGUUCUCUUUGAGCUUCCUCUUUUGAUUGACGUACCUGUAGAAGCCCUUCUUGUUGGUCUUCACUUCCCUUGCCAAGUUCAGCUCCAGCUGCACCUUGGCCUUCCUGACUUCAUCCCUACACAACCAGGCAGCAUCUCUAUACAUGUCCCAGGUUCCCUGUCUGUGUUUGCACUGCCUGUGCAGUUCCUUCUUUCUUAGUUUAACCAGCAGGUCUCAACUCAGCCAUGCCAGUCUCUUCCCUUUCCUGCCUGAUUUUCUGCAAACAGGGACUGAGUGCUUUUGUGCCUUGUGGAAAGCGUCCUUAAAUAUUUUCCAGCUCUCUUCUGCUCCCUCUGAAGACCAUGUCCUGGGUGGUCCUACCGAGUAAUUCCUUGAAUAGCUGGAAGUGUGCUUUCCUGAAAUUUAGUGUCCUGGCUAUAGUCCUCACCUGUCUCAUAUCCCUCUGGACCUUGGACUCCACCAGUGCAUGAUCACUGCAGCCCAGGUUGUCUCCGAUCCUAACGUCACUGAUGAGUUCGCUUGUAUUGGUGACCAUCAGGUCCAGUUGUAUCUCCUUGGGUAGGAGUCUUUAUCAGCUGGACUAAGAAAUUAUCCUCAAUGCACUCUAGGAGUCUCCUGGAUUGCCUACAGCUUGCAGUGCUACUUUUCCAGCAUAUUUGUCUCACAAUGCAAAAAGUAAGAGACAAAAACUCCUUAAAAUAGUAUAAAAUUCGAUAGACAGCUCCUCGGAACUCUUCUGUGUUGAUCUGCUGCAUCCAAGAUCCUGCAGAAAUCUGAGGUUUCAUAAAGAGUUAAUUUUCCCUAGGAAAAAAACCUAAAGUAUAAUAGUGUUGUUCCCGCAGGAAAACAGCUUUCUCGUAGCCCUCUUUGUUUUUACCAGCAAAGUAAUUCAUCACCAGUUAUCUUUGAGGUUAACUGUGUGGGAACUCAUUGUAGGCAGCUUUAUUCAUACUGGAUUGUGUGGCUGUUUGUUUCAUUAUUGCAUGAGUUUAAAAUCUGGUGCAGAUGCAAAAAACGUUAAAACUUUUGGAAUAAUAAAUAAUGACUUUAGUCUCUUGAUACUGACAAAUUUAGUAUCUGCCACUGCCUGGAGUGGAAAUGCUGCCAGUGGAGGUCUAGUUUUAUGAGAGAAGUUUGGUUUAAUAAUCAGCGUGGUUUUGUUUGCUUUGUGUAGGAGACCAGUUCUUUGUGUACAUGGAUUCAUCUUCUACUGUAUUGAUAAAAGGCUAUAAAAUAUACAUAGAAGCAUCAAUUGUUUUUAUUUUGCUGUGAAAAUAUAACUGAAACAUCAUUGGUUAUAAUCGUCUGAUUGGAACUGGAAUUUUGUUAAGGUUUUCUCCUUUACAUCAAAGUACUGGAUUUUGAUCCCAUUUAAUUUGGGGAAAUGAAGGUAUCUGUCAAAAUAACACUGCGUCGUGGUUUGCUGUGAUUACUAAAAAGCUGGGCUGGAAGACAACUCUGAGAAUUCUGGAAAUCCACGGUGCUGGAAGAUUGGUUUCAGUGUUUGAUGUUAACCAACUGCCCCAUGCAAUACCUGCUUAUAAAUACCUUCAGGAAUGUAAAAUAAUUAGGCAGCUGACCAUCUAGACUAGGAAUGGAAGGACUGAUAUUAGGUAGGCACGAAAGAAAGAGUGACAAUAAAAACCAACUGGGACUUAGCAAGCGCGUACACACACAACGUCCACCAAAACAACCAAACUUCUAGAGGUUUAAGUUACAAGCUUCCUUGGAGCCUGUUUUAUUUUCAGCCCUGCCAUACAACUGCUUUGGGUGCAUUCUGAGAUCUAAUUAAUCCAGUGGUGUGUUGGACCCUACCCCACCAAAGUCAGUAUGGGAGCUUCCCUACAUCGACCUAACUCUAUGUUGGGGAUGUAGCUGCUGUUGGGAGAGGGGAUGUCCUCAACAAAAGCGUCACUUACUUGAACCCUUAGAAAAUUAAUGGAUGCAAGAGCAGGGGAGGGGUGAGCUCGCUUUUUUGUGUGGGCUAUACCUGAAGGGUUUGUCAGGGAAAGCUGCUCUUCACUAGUGAUUAAUGAACUGUUAAUAGUGUUUGAAUGUCUGAAAUAAUUCUGUCUUGAAUAAUUUACCAUCGUGAAAUUUAUCUAGUAGGAUCAAAUGCUAUUUACUGUAAGGAUGUGGUGCAUGCUUAGUUAUAUGGUGUGUAUUGUGCCAGAUAUGACUCAAGACAGGAUGCUGAGCAAUUCUUUGAGGAAAGUAGCAUGAGGUCUUCUUGCCCACUUGUCUGAAGGAAGAUGAUUUUCCAGGAUUCUAGCUAAAAUGCUCUUAUGUGGGCUGAGAACUAUGAACUCGGUUCUGGCUACCUUUACAUUAAUGAGGUUUUGGACCAGUGUGAUGCUUUCUUGUUGCAUGAAACCAUGGCUGGGAAAUCUCUUAAAGUUAGGAAAUAUUUAUUUGAGCUUUACUGAAAAAUGCAAGUUUUUGCUCCAAAUGAAUCAGUCGUCUUGGGCAGGAAGAGACAUUGGAGUAAGCUACCUUAUAAUAUAGAUGGCUUGGGGACUUCCUUUGGGAUGCAAUUUUUUUCUCCAUAUAAUUUUUUUUCCAAAAUUGUCAUCAUAAAACCUGAAGAAAAUAGCAGUCUUGUUUGCAGUAUUUUUCCUGAGUGUCUGGGGAAUAGUCUAAUUUUUGUUCUGCAAAUGCAAUCCAGAAUAUAUUCUAUCAUAGCUGUUUUAAAUGCAUAAAUAAGUUAACAUUUUUGUGUGUUUUAUGAUGCUGUUCUUAUAUAGACGACUACUUUGCAUUCACAGCAGGAGCUAAGAACAAAUCUUGAAUCUCAGCAAGAUUCCUGAGAAUAAGAAAUUUUCAGUGCUCUGUCACAGAGGGAACAAUACAUCAAAUACCAGUUCAAGACAGGUACUGUUUUCACGUCUGUAUGCACUCCUGUUUAAGGCACUGUUACCUGCUGGACUGCAGUGAAUGUAAAUUAUACAUUCCUGUUUCAGUUCCCAUGUAAAUUACACUGAGCUCCCUAAAGCGCAGAAAGACUUAUCAAUUUUCAAAAGAACUGGAGCAAAAGGAGAGAGUCAGUUAAGGCAAAACAAAUACAGACAUCAUAAACCUCCUGUGUUCCUGUGAUGUAGGCCUUUCAUGCUGGUGAUAACUGUCUGCUGCUCUCCACCGAGUCUGUCAUCUUUACAACACCCUUUCUUAGCUUGGAUGGUAGAAUUUGAAAUGUAGAUGAUCAGAAAAGAACGACCUAUGUUCAUUUUUUUUCUGGUCAGUUUAUAGUGUAUUUCCUAUGACAGUAUAUGCCUGUUUUAAAGUUUUUACUUGUACUAAGGAGUUUUUCCAGUAGGUUGUCCUAUUUUCAUCGUUCCUUUAAAUUCAUUUACCCUGGUAGAGCAAACAUGACCGUUAAAAGGCUCUGUUUUCUCUACCUUUGAGGUAUGAAGGAGCAUAAAAUAUCACUAGCCUUUCUGGUUUAUUUGCAUCAGGCUCUUAAUUACUUCCUUUAUUGCCUCUUAUAGGUAUGUAUGUGUGAAACUUGUCUGCCCUUUGAGCCUAAACUACAAAAAGAACUAUGUUAAAGGUCCUCAUCACUUAAAUUUCCCUCUCUUCCAUUUUCUUUGUAGCCAUUCCUCAUUUGUUCCUAAUAAUGGCUAUGAAAAGCUUUUCCUUGUCUCUUUAAUUCACAAAAUGCAAAACAGAUAGCUUUUCAUUACUUUGGCAGCUAAGAAAUGUCAUUUAAGUGUUGAAACAAGGGUUACCUUUUAAACUGUUCCACCUGUGUUGAUAUUACAAGCCUCUGCUGAACACAGAACUUUACAGUUUCGCAGUCACGGACAGGUCAAGGAGUGUGACCAGCUUUUAAAAAUUAUUAAUAUACACAUGUGUUGUCACAGUUGUUCUGCCGCACUUUUUUUCCUAUUUGCCUCCACCUGCUUUCCUUUCCUGAGCAGAGUCGAAAGAAGCCUUGACAGAGGCGGCACUUCUGUGUUUUGCUCACACUGACUGAAAUCCUUGACUAAUUAUGGAGCUUUUACAAAUCCUUUUUUAUGAAAAGAUUCUUCUCCCUGGUAGCCAGUGGCAGGCUAAGGGGAAGUAGUCUCAAGAUGCGCUUGGGGAGAUUUAGGUUGGAUAUUAGGAGGAAUUUCUUUACUGAAAGGGUUGUAAAGCAUUGGAACAGGCUGCCCAGGGAGGUGGUUGAGUCACCAUUCCUGGAGGUGUUUAGAGGAUGAGUAGGUGCCAUACCUGGGGACAUGGUCUACUGGUAGACCUAGCAGGGCUGGAUUGAUGGUUGGACACGAUGACCUUAAAGGUACGCUGUGGGUGGUUGCUACAUCCACCUACUGCCAGAAAAUGGUAGGGUGUCACUCUAGGAGGCAGGGCAUAACCCUCAUUGUAGUAUGGUAACUCACGAAUAACGCCUGCAUUUCUAAACUAGAAAUUAAUUAGACGUAAGGUAGGUGUUAAAUGCAAACACAUUUGAGUAAUACGUAUGUACAAUUUAUUUAAAACACUUUUUAACAUACAUAUAAAAACCCCCUCACUAUUUAUACAGUCUAAGUUCUAGCAACAUAUACAAAUACUGAGCAACUACAAUACAUGCUGAGGUAAGAACAUACAUUCUGGGAGAAUACUCAAGCCAAAACAGAUUGAAAUACAUUUUAUAUCUAUAUGUCUUCACACGUAAGACUCAUUAAAAUGUACCUCUGCUUGUACUGUAUAUGGGAAAAUUCUAAUCUUAAGUGUGUCAUGCAACUUACAUUUGGGAAUCAGUGUUUUUUUGUAGCAUACACUUUAAACCCAAGUGUUGCAUGUUCAAACUGAUCUUCCUCGCCCUAGCAAAUAACACGAUCAAAGUUGAAAGGAGGGAGCAAAGCUUGGGACCAAUUUCUUUCAAAAAGGGACUUAAAUUCUUAAAACCCUCCAUUCUAGUCAACAGCUCAUGCUGCUCGGCUAACGAAACUGCAUUAUGGUUGCUUAAAAAAAUAAUCCACUAUAGCGAAACUGUUUAAUUCUUACACCAUCCUAGCCUAUAGUAUAUCCACAGUUCUAUCAUGUCUGGCCUACAGUAAAAAUUAAAUCCAGGCAUGUUAAUUUUACUGAUUUGAAUACAUUCAUUUAUUUUUAUGGUAGAUUAAUUUUUCUUAUACUAAACUUGUACAGAUUGAGAAUGCAGAGGUUUCUCAACUUAGCUGGAAUAUGUGUCACAUCUUGAUGCCAACAAAUAACCAACCUUCCACCCCUUUAAAAUAAAAUCAGUCAGAAUGAUAAUUUCGAAGUCAUAAUUACAAAGGCUUACAGUGGGUAAGAAGACACCAGUUCAAGAAAAACUACAAAGACUGCAGACUAGCUUGAUCAAGCAGAAAAAGUUGCAAUAACGUCAGAAGUACAACUAUAGGCAGGAAUUUCUUUGUAAUGAAUGGGUCUUAUUAUACCAUCCUUACGUACAUUCACAUUUAGGCUUAGACACCCAAUUCUAAACCAAAAAAUACUAGUUCUCGAUGAAUGAGAAUCAGUGGUCAAAAAAUUGUAGAAUUGGGCUCUAAGGUAGUGCAGAGUAUGUAAUAACGUAUUCUAGGUGUUGAACAGGCCACAAGUAAGUCUAGAUUAUUGAGUUUAAAUAAAGCCUUUGUGCAAACAAAUUUUCAAGUGAUAAGUUAGGAUACUGAACUGGUAUAAAGACAUGGCAACCCUCUUGAACCGUAUUUUAGUUUCAAUUUGGAUGUUCUCCACCUAGUUUAAGGACCCUGGGCAAUAAACAAGGCUGAUGUGAUUUACAUCAUAGAAACAAACAAUCACUGAAGUCCAUAAAACUGGGCUAAUGUGUAGGUAAGGGACUUCACGUGUAUAAAUUAAUUCAGCAUCCUCCCAAGAGUGCUGUUGCAAUAAAAAUAAAGCAUUUUCUACUACUUCAGUUAAAACGCUGUGCUUUGUUGCCAACAAGACAAAAAAAUGGCAAAAAUGACAGCCAAAUUGUUUUCAUUGCGUGAAUACCUUAGCUACAACUAGUCUAUGUUAUCUCAAAUAGACGACUGACUGCACUAGAGAACAUAGGAACAUUUGAAGGACACAAAUUCCAUUAAUCUCUUUGGAACAGUACUGGUUCUCUUGCAAAGGUUUUGAAAUCUUUUAUACUUCUAAUAUGAACAAUCCUAAGAAAAGCCCUAAGGCUAAAGUUUUUCAGUUGUGCUAAAACGUACCAUAUGUGCUAAAUGCGUGUAUAACACAAACUGUGCACCAUUAGAAUAUGUGUGCUUUCUUAAGCACUCACAAAAGUAUAUACAUAUCUAUCUUUGUAUAUGCUCACAUCUUAACACACAACAACAGAUACUCCAGAGGGGACAGGGAGAACCUUUCGCAAUUCAGUCACCUCAAACACCUGGGUGCUUCUUGCACAAUGACCAUCAGGGAAGUCUGAAUUCGAGGCAGACAUUU